CGGGUUGCACAUGGGCAUGAUCAAUACGGCGCCGUUUUGGGGCCACUGAAACAGGCCCCUAUAUAUGCCCAAUUUUGGAACCCUAAAACACCAUUCCUCUGCCAAUCCUCAAGUGCGCCGCAGCUCUUCUUUCACUGCCGUUCUCCCAUCUCAGACCAGACACCAGCAAAAAGAGGAUGCCCGACGACUCUCUCGACGGUAAGUCCUCUUUUUCUCCUCUUCUUCGUUUAUUUUUGUUGUUUUUUUAAAAAGAAGCAAAAGAAAAGAACAAGGUAAAUUAAAAAAACAGUAAAAGAACAGAGAAAGAAAACAAGAUCCCACCUUCAAAAAUGUUUCUUUCUGUCUAUUUUCUUUUUGAUUUAGGUAUAAAAAUUUUGCUAACCCCCAUUACAGAUUCCAUUUGACUUUAAAUAGCCAAAAUAACAAAAAGAAAAAACCCCCGAAAACCCCUUUUCCACCCUUUACUGUUCGUGGUUCGAUUUGUUGCAGGUACGCGUGUGUGGCGUGCACGGAGUGCUGAACGUGGGGCGGUUUGGGAGGCUGCCGAACGUGGGGCAUGCGGCGCUGACUGCUGCUAACCCCUUAGGGUUUCUACAUUUGAAAAUUGUUACGGCUAUGUAUUGGGCCAGUGUUGUAUUUGGGUUUGUAUUGGGCUUGUUAUUAUUUGGGUCUACUUUGGACUGGUGUAAUGAGUAUUUGGGUUGGUCUUAUUUUGAAUGGGCCGGGCAAAAAUGGGCUAUUACAACUCCAAUUUUUCGACUAAAUAAUAGAAACACAGUAAUUACUAGUACUUUUGGUCCUCGUGGAUACGAUAUUCCCUACUCGCCAUAACUAUACUAUUACUCAAUAGGUGUGCUUUCCUUAGUUGUAUUUAUAGUUAGUUUAGUGACAUUACCAUUCCUUUUGUCGACACCUGUCUAAAAUCAAACACUUUUUGAUUUUGAGAUUUUAAAACAAUGGUAUACUUUCAGUUUAGUCCCUAGAAUAUGUUUAAAAUCUAUAUACCUAUAUAUGGCACGUGGGCACACCAACCAACUUCCUUUCUUUUUCCCAUUUUAUAAAAUGGCUAAUUUUCAAUUUCAG
rnacentral:lncRNA from 1 species